rnacentral:rRNA from 1 species
UACGUAGGGGGCAAGCGUUGUCCGGAUUUAUUGGGCGUAAAGAGCGUGUAGGCGGUUUGGUAGGUCCGCUGUGAAAACUCGAGGCUCAACCUCGAGACGCCGGUGGAAACCAUCAGACUAGAGUCCGGAAGAGGAGAGUGGAAUCCUGGUGUAGCGGUGAAAUGCGCAGAUAUCAGGAAGAACACCCGUGGCUAAGGCGGCUCUCUAGUACGGUACUGACGCUGAGACGCGAAAGCGUGGGGAGCGAACAGG